rnacentral:rRNA from 1 species
GUCCUUUAGUUAUUUAUUUGAGGUCUGGUCUGCCCAAUGAUUUUUUAAUGGCCGCGGUAUCCUAACCGUGCAAAGGUAGCAUAAUCACUUGUCUCUUAAUUGGAGGCUGGAAUGAAUGGCUGGACGAGAAAUAUACUUUCUUUUUUGUAUUUUAAUGAAUUUUAUUUCCUAGUCAAAAAGCUGGGAUUUUUUUAUAGGACGAGAAGACCCUAUAGAAUUUUAUAUUUUUUAAUUUGUCACUUUUAUUGGGUUGUGUUUAAGGUUUCAUUUUAUAUGUAUUUUGUUGGGGCGACAAGGAAAUUUUUUUAACUUUCUUUUUUUGUUUUCAUUAAUUUAUGUUUUGUUUUUGAUCCACUUUUUGUGAUUAUAAGAUUAAAUUACCUUAGGGAUAACAGCGUAAUUCUUUUGGAGAGUUCUUAUCGAUAAAGGAGUUUGCGA